GGAGGCAGCUUCAUUUAUAGGAAAAAGAGGGAACCCUAGAUCAUUUACCCUAAUGGGCUGCAGUCUUAACGGGCUCUCCUUAAGAAAUUUUUGGGCCAGGAACCGGGCCGUUACAGAAUGAGCAAAGGUUCCUCACCGUCUAUUCUCUCUUUGCCCGUUUGUUUUUUCCGUGAAGCCAUAUUAGAUAACCGUUUCCGUUGUCUUCUCAAACAUGUCUCUGGGAGUGAACUAUUUCACCUUUUUUCAGAAAAGUUUUAAUUUUUGUAUCCUAAAAAGUUAAGAAAAUGAUAAGGUAAAUAUUAAAUUCAGUUUACUCAUUUUUUGGGUUCCACCAUUUCAAUUAUUUUAAAAUUUGAAAAUAUUAAACUGAAAAACAGCAACCAAACACAAACAUCAAGUUGAACUUUAGUUAGGGGGUAUCAAAGUAAAUAACUACUAAAAAACUA
rnacentral:lncRNA from 1 species